UACGUAGGGGGCGAGCGUUGUCCGGAGUUAUUGGGCGUAAAGCGCGCGCAGGCGGUCUAGCCAGUCUGGAGUGACAGUUCCCGGCUCACCUGGGAAAGGUCUUCGGAAACUGCUAGACUUGAGGGACUCAGAGGGAGACGGAAUUCCAGGUGGAGCGGUGAAAAUGCGUAGAUAUCUGGAGGAACACCGGUGGCGAAGGCGGCAUUCUGGACCGACAUUGACGCUGAGGAGCGAAAAGCCCAGGGGGAGCAAACGGGG
rnacentral:rRNA from 1 species